UUUUAGGAUGAGUCACAGCUGGAAGGAGGAGGCAGAAAAGAAAGAUCUUGACACUCUAGAUGAUGGGCCAAAUGUAGCAACAUGAAUUGUGUGGGGAUCAAUGCCAGUAUCUUUCCUGAGGUUUUACAAAGCCACCUGCCUGCAUACAGGGAGGGGAGUAGCCCUUAAGAGCAACGCUCAUCACAACAAGCCUCCAGGGUCUUGGUUAACUCCGAGUCAUGCAGCUGCCAAGAAAAGAUGGUGUUUGAAGUAGAUCUUGAAGAACAGGCAGAGAGAGUUGUCAUGGACUCAUGGACUAGCAACUGAGGAAGAAUAUCUAACUAGAGGGGUCACCAACAGCAAACAGCACAGGGAUUCCUAGUGAUGAGUUUUCUUUUUAUGUUAUAUAUUCAACAGCAUGCUUCAGUGGUACCACUAUGAGUCUUUAGACCUGGGGAAACUACACCUCGGUAAUAACCGGCCUUAUCACCGGGCCGGCAGUCAUUUAAUAUGCUUCUUUGUCUGACACCAAUCAUGAACUGCAGCGUGGGAUGUCAAGGCUUCUGCAAAUGCCAAUCGCACGCCUCACUGUACAUCAGGCCCAGGGUUCAGAUCUUAUGAUAGGAAAUCCAAGAAUCAACCGCCAGCAGAGUAAUCCAUUUUCUGGAAACAAGAUGUGGACAGUCUCGUUUCCAGCAUCCAGCCCCUUCAGUCUCCCAUGUUAUCUCUGAAAGAGUUAAAAUCACUCUCAAAAGACCAAAGUGAAGAGACUCAAGUGUCACUGUAUUUACACCAUCUAGAUGGAGUGCUAUUUUUGAGUCUUUGGCUUAAGGUGCAGACUUGACUAGGAAAAUCAGAGCUGAAAUGUCAUUUCCAGCUACUUUCUUUGAGAGAUUUCCCAGAUGGAUUGGCUCAGCCCACGAAUCAAAUGGCAUUUUUGUUGUUGUUGUUUCUAACUGCUUGCUGUGUCAACCAGCUGUGUUCGUCCUGCCCCACACUGGAUCCCCCACAUUAAAUGUUUUCUGAUCAGCUGGCAGCUGUUCUGAAGACACACAAAGC